rnacentral:rRNA from 1 species
AUGAAAUGGUUGAAGGAUUCCAUUCUCAGCAAACGAUCCAAUAAUUCUUUUCGGAGUACUAUGGUCGGUGAUCUGAAGAUUAGAUUACAUGAAAUUGGCAUCCCUAUGGAUUUAGCUUCGAAAUUGCACGUUUCUGAGUAUGUUAACUCAUACAACUUCGACAACAUAAAUUCUAAGUGCAACCUGCACCUUCUUGCCAAGGAAGAACUAUUAAUUAAGCGCAAUGGAAAGCAAAUCCUUGUUAAGGAGGCAAAUCAGCUGGUAAUUGGUGACAUUGUGCAUAAGUUAUUGCAGGAUAGUGAUUGCAUUCUUAUCAAUAGGCCACCAUCAGUACAUCAACACUCACUUAUUGCGCUAUCUGCGAAGUUAUUACCAGUUCAGUCAGUUCUUUCAAUCAACCCACUGUGUUGUGCACCUUUUAUGGGAGAUUUUGAUGGAGAUUUUUUGCAUGGAUAUGUCACACAGUUUAUACAAUCAAGUGCUGAGCUUGGAGAGCUAGUUAGCUUAAGACGCCAACUGUUGAAUGUGCAAGAUGGUCGAAGUUUGGUGUCAUUAACACAUGACUCUCUGGCUGCUGCGUAUCUAUUAACAAGCUCGGAGGUUUUACUGGAGAAAACUGAAUUUCAACAAUUUCAAAUGUUAUGCCAUCCACUCUCUCUGACAGCAGCACCAUCAGUAUUUAAAUCUGUAUGCUCUCACGGUCCACUGUGGACUGGUAAACAGUUGUUCAGCAUGCUGCUUCCUUCUGAUAUGAAUUUCAGUACUGAUCCUAAGGUACACAUCAUAGAUGGUGAAGUUCUUGCCUGA